GACGAACGCUGGCGGCGUGCUUAACACAUGCAAGUCGAACGGAAAGGCCCCUUUGGGGAUCCUCGAGUGGCGAACGGGUGAGUAACACGUGAGUAACCUGCCCUUGACUUCGGGAUAACUUCAGGAAACUGGGGCUAAUACCGGAUAGGAAUCCUUGCUGCAUGGUGGGGGUUGGAAAGCUUCGGCGGUUUUGGAUGGACUCGCGGCUUAUCAGCUUGUUGGUGGGGUAGUGGCUUACCAAGGCUUUGACGGGUAGCCGGCCUGAGAGGGCGACCGGCCACAUUGGGACUGAGAUACGGCCCAGACUCCUACGGGAGGCAGCAGUGGGGAAUAUUGCACAAUGGGCGGAAGCCUGAUGCAGCAACGCCGCGUGCGGGAUGACGGCCUUCGGGUUGUAAACCGCUUUCAGCAGGGGCGAAGCUUGUGGUGACGGUACCUGCAGAAGAAGCACCGGCUAACUACGUG
rnacentral:rRNA from 1 species